AGCUUUGGUUUCUCCGUCCUUCAAAGUUCAAACUACAUCUCCCUCAUCUCAUCCUUCCUUUACUAUUCCGGUGGUAGGCGCAACCAAGUAGCGGCGUCAAUCACCAACUACCCGUCAGCAAGCACGGUGGUUGUUCGAUCUACUCAUUCAGUCACUUUUAAGUACUCCUGGUAGAGAUGACAUUGCCGCCGGACGUACGCAGCGUUUGCUUUGGGUUACUGUCAGAUUUCUUGUCGCCGCCCGAUCUCGUUGAUGCAAUUGCAAAUUCGACCGUAAUUUCUCUGUCUAAAUUAUCUAAUAUCGUCUCCUGUCUAGCAUGUCUGACGAGUCGUCACCUCCUUCUGGUGGCCACGAGGAGCGUGGCAUGUCGCGUCAGUCUAUUGGCAGUUCACUAAUCCAUUCUGGAUACGAUUCGCCAAACUUCUUUGCACCAGGCUUCAAAGAACUGGAAUCACUGCUGAAGAUUGCAAGGACAGAGUGGAUUACUACCAUUCAAAAUACAUUGACUAUAAGGGAGUUGCUCCACGUGGGGACGAGGACAGAAAGAUUUUUAUUCUGUACCAACGUGACCCUGUCCCAAGAGUGCCUAGGACCCCUGCAGAUGGUGGGGCAACAGCUAAAGCCAGUUAUAGUAGUAGGUCAGUUAGUAGGGGACGGUCAGUUAGUCGUGGACGGAGCCACUCUGUUGGCUGCCCCACACACGUCUGCCCCUCAACAAGCUAUGUCCCUGUGAGAUCUGAUUCUCAGUUAAAGUUAAUGUUAGGUGCUGCUCUCAGUGAAUUAGUGCGACACCACAACCUGCGUUUCGGAAUGACACAAGCGGUAAUGGACCAGUUUACUAACGAAACCAUGAUCCAUAUUUUUCUAGACCUUAGUUCUGAGCGGCAGAUGGCUGAAAUUGUUUCUAUGCUUGGCCCUGAUGUCUUGUCUGAGUAACCCCCUGCGUAAUGGAGGUGAUGGAGGAGUUGUUCAUGUUUUCAGUUGGUUGGUGAUUUGAGGUUUGGUGCUCCGUCAGUGAUAUUUUCUGAUGUAAUUGGAUUGUUGAUUGUCUGAUGUAAUUGGAUUGUUGAUUGUGCCGAUAAGGGGUUGUUCUGCCCUUGGCCUAAGUGUAAUUUUAAUUAAUCACUCCUAAGAGGAGGAGUACUUCUGUCGUUGACCUAAAUGUAACUUUUAAUUAAUCACUUCUUAUCGUAGGAGUACUCUUAACUUUUAUUUAUGUUUGAAGGAUGUAAUUGGAUUGUUGAUUGUGCCGAUAAGGGUUUUUCUGCCCUUGGCCUAAGUGUAAUCUCAAUUAAUCACUCCUAAGAGGAGGAGUACUUCUGUCGUUGACCUAAAUGUAACUUUUAAUUAAUCACUUCUUAUCGUA